GGGCAAUAGCUCAGUGGCAGAGCAGCUGCUUUGCACGCAGACAGUCCCAGGUUCAAACCCUGAAAUCUCCA